rnacentral:rRNA from 1 species
GAUGAACGCUAGCGGGAGGCUUAACACAUGCAAGUCGAAGGGCAGCACGUCUUCGGAUGGUGGCGACUGGCGAACGGGUGCGUAACGCGUAUGCAACCUACCCUCAACAGGGGAAUAGCCCAGAGAAAUUUGGAUUAAUACCCCAUAGUAUUACAGAUUCGCAUGUUUCUGUGAUUAAAGUUCCAACGGUUGAGGAUGGGCAUGCGUGACAUUAGCUUGUUGGUGAGGCAACGGCUCACCAAGGCAACGAUGUCUAGGGGUUCUGAGAGGAUGAUCCCCCANACUGGUACUGAGACACGGACCAGACUCCUACGGGAGCAGCAGUGAGGAAUAUUGGACAAUGGAGGCAACUCUGAUCCAGCCAUCCCGCGUGCAGGAAGAAGGCCCUAUGGGUUGUAAACUGCUUUUAUACAGGAAUAAACCCCUNUACGUGUAGAGGGCUGAAGGUACUGUAAGAAUAAGCACCGGCUAACUCCGUGCCAGCAGCCGUA